CCUACGGGAGGCAGCAGUGGGGAAUAUUGGGCAAUGGAGGAAACUCUGACCCAGCAACGCCGCGUGAAGGAUGAAGGUUUUCGGAUUGUAAACUUCUGUUGCGAGGGAUGAAGAAUGACGGUACCUCGUGAGGAAGCCCCGGCAAACUACGUGCCAGCAGCCGCGGUAAUACGUAGGGGGCAAGCGUUGUCCGGAAUGACUGGGCGUAAAGGGAGUGUAGGCGGCCUUUUAAGUUAUAUGUGAAAGCCCCCGGCUUAACCGAGGAACUGCAUAUAAAACUGGAGGGCUGGAGUGCAGGAGAGGUAAGCGGAAUUUCUAGUGUAGCGGUGGAAUGCGUAGAUAUUAGGAAGAACACCGGAGGCGAAGGCGGCUUACUGGACUGUAACUGACGCUGAGGCUCGAAAGCGUGGGGAGCAAACAGGAUUAGAUACCCUUGUA
rnacentral:rRNA from 1 species